CCUACGGGUGACAGCAGUGGGGAAUAUUGGUCAAUGGACGCAAGUCUGAAGCAGCGAUGCCGCGUGCGGGAAGACGGCUCUCUGAGUUGUAAACUCCUUUUGUACGAGGGUAAAUCCCGAUACGUGUAUCGGGUUGAAAGUAUCGUACGAAUAAGGAUCGGAGAACUCCGUGCCAGCCGCCGCGGUAAUACGGAGGAUUCAAGCGUUAUCCGGUUUUAUUGGGUGUAAAGGGUGCGUAGGCGGUUCGAUAAGUUAGAGGUGAAAUCCCGGGGCUCAACUCCGGAACUGCCUGUGAUACUGUCGGGCUAGAGUUUAGUUGCGGUAGGCGGAAUGUAUGGUGUAGCGGUGAAAUGCAUAGAGAUCAUACAGAACACCGAUGGCGAAGGCAGCUUACCAAACUACGACUGACGUUGAGGCACGAAAGCGUGGGGAGCAAACAGGAUUAGAUACCCCAGUAGUC
rnacentral:rRNA from 1 species